rnacentral:rRNA from 1 species
GGCUUUUGUGAAUAAAGUGGAACGAGUUGGAAAACUCGACCGAAGUGGGUGAUAGUCCCGUACACGUAGAAUAGCAGAAGUCCUUGAGUAGGGCGGGACACGUGAAAUCCCGUCUGAACAUGGGUCGACCACGAUCCAAGCCCAAGUACUCGUGCAUGACCGAUAGCGAACCAGUACCGUGAGGGAAAGGUGAAAAGCAACCCGA